rnacentral:rRNA from 1 species
UACGGGAGGCAGCAGUGGGGAAUUUUGGACAAUGGGCGCAAGCCCUGAUCCAGCAAUGCCGCGUGUGUGAAGAAGGCCUUCGGGUUGUAAAGCACUUUUUGUCCGGAAAGAAAACCCCGGUCCUAAUACGGCGGGGGGAUGACGGUACCGGAAGAAUAAGCACCGGCUAACUACGUGCCAGCAGCCGCGGUAAUACGUAGGGUGCGAGCGUUAAUCGGAAUUACUGGGCGUAAAGCGUGCGCAGGCGGUCCGUUAAGACAGAUGUGAAAUCCCCGGGCUUAACCUGGGAACUGCAUUUGUGACUGGCGGGCUAGAGUAUGGCAGAGGGGGGUAGAAUUCCACGUGUAGCAGUGAAAUGCGUAGAGAUGUGGAGGAAUACCGAUGGCGAAGGCAGCCCCCUGGGCCAAUACUGACGCUCAUGCACGAAAGCGUGGGGAGCAAACAGGAUUAGAUACCCUGGUAGUCCACGCCCUAAACGAUGUCAACUAGUUGUCGGGUCUUCAUUGACUUGGUAACGUAGCUAACGCGUGAAGUUGACCGCCUGGGGAGUACGGUCGCAAGAUUAAAACUCAAAGGAAUUGACGGGGACCCGCACAAGCGGUGGAUGAUGUGGAUUAAUUCGAUGCAACGCGAAAAACCUUACCUACCCUUGACAUGGACGGAACCUGGCUGAAAGGCCGGGGUGCUCGAAAGAGAACC